CUGUUAUAUUGUCUCUCCAGUCAGGUCUCUAUCUAUGAGGGAGACCAGUCUGACCCUGUUAUAUUGUCUCUCCAGUCAGGUCUCUAUCUAUGAGGGAGACCAGAGGGACUGUCUGACCCUGUUAUAUUGUCUCUCCAGUCAGGUCUCUAUCUAUGAGGGAGACCAGUCUGACCCUGUUAUAUUGUCUCUCCAGUCAGGUCUCUAUCUAUGAGGGAGACCAGUCUGACCCUGUUAUAUUGUCUCUCCAGUCAGGUCUCUAUGAGGGAGACCAGAGGGACUGUCUGACCCUGUUAUAUUGUCUCUCCAGUCAGGUCUCUAUCUAUGAGGGAGACCAGAGGGACUGUCUGACUCUGUUAUAUUGUCUCUCCAGUCAGGUCUCUAUCUAUGAGGGAGACCAGAGGGACUGUCUGACCCUGUUAUAUUGUCUCUCCAGUCAGGUCUCUAUCUAUGAGGGAGACCAGUCUGACCCUGUUAUAUUGUCUCUCCAGUCAGGUCUCUAUCUAUGAGGGAGACCAGUCUGACCCUGUUAUAUUGUCUCUCCAGUCAGGUCUCUAUCUAUGAGGGAGACCAGUCUGACCCUGUUAUAUUGUCUCUCCAGUCAGGUCUCUAUCUAUGAGGGAGACCAGUCUGACCCUGUUAUAUUGUCUCUCCAGUCAGGUCUCUAUCUAUGAGGGAGACCAGUCUGACCCUGUUAUAUUGUCUCUCCAGUCAGGUCUCUAUCUAUGAGGGAGACCAGUCUGACCCUGUUAUAUUGUCUCUCCAGUCAGGUCUCUAUCUAUGAGGGAGACCAGAGGGACUGUCUGACCCUGUUAUAUUGUCUCUCCAGUCAGGUCUCUAUCUAUGAGGGAGAC